rfam:Loxodonta africana unplaced genomic scaffold scaffold_111, whole genome shotgun sequence.
GGCUGCAUGGGCUAAUGGAUAAGGCCACUGACUUCAGGUCAGAAGAUUGCAGGUUUGAGUCCUGCCGUGGUCA